AGAGAGAGACAUGCGCGCAUAUCAAUAAGCGGAGGAAAAGAAACUAACAAGGAUUCCCUUAGUAACGGCGAGUGAAGCGGGAAGAGCUCAAAUUUGAAAUCUUCAAGGUUUUACCUUGACGAAUUGUAGUUUAAAGAAGUGUUUUCUGUUGAAGUUUUGGUAAAAGUUCUUUGGAAUAGGACAUCAUAGAGGGUGAGAAUCCCGUAUUUGACCAUUAUUUUCAGCUGUGUGAUACACUUUCAAAGAGUCGGAUUGUUUGGGAAUGCAGUCCAAAGUGGGUGGUAAAUUUCAUCUAAAGCUAAAUACUGGCGAGAGACCGAUAGCGAACAAGUACCGUGAGGGAAAGAUGAAAAGAACUUUGAAAAGAGAGUUAAACAGUACGUGAAAUUGUCAAAAGGGAAGCGUUUGACACCAGUGUUGUUUUCUCGAAAAUCAAUUAAAAAAGGCAGGAUUUUGUGUUGUAUUGACUUUAUCAGCUUUCUGCACUCUUUUCUUGUCUUUUUUAAUGCACUUUUCGUUUAACAAGUCAACAUCAAUUUCUUUUGUUGUAAAAGGGUCAUUGGAAGGUGGCUUUCUUUUCGGAGAAAGUGUUUAUAGCCUUUGGCCUCUGCAAUCGGAGAGAUUGAGGUCUGCAGCGUAGAUCCUUCGGGGUUAGAUACAUUUGUGCUAAGUUAUAGCCUUUUCAUAGACAACUUGUUGACUAUGAUCAGUCAUGUAGCUUACUCGCUUAUGCUAUUUUACCUACGCUUAGGAUGUUGAUGUGAUACUGCGAGC
rnacentral:rRNA from 1 species